GGCGGCAUAGCCAAGUGGUAAGGCAAAGGAUUGCAAAUCCUUCAUUCCCUCAGUUCAAAUCUGAGUGCCGCCU
rnacentral:tRNA from 1 species